rnacentral:tRNA from 1 species
ACUAUUUUGGCAGAAAUAUAUGCGGUAAAUUUAGAAUUUAUUUAUGUGAUUUUAAUUACAAAUGGUA